GACGAACGCUGGCGGCGUGCUUAACACAUGCAAGUCGAACGGAAAGGCCCUGCUUGCAGGGUACUCGAGUGGCGAACGGGUGAGUAACACGUGGGUGAUCUGCCCUGCACUUCGGGAUAAGCCUGGGAAACUGGGUCUAAUACCGGAUAGGAGCCAUUUUUAGUGGGAUGGUUGGAAAGUUUUUUCGGUGUAGGAUGAGCUCGCGGCCUAUCAGCUUGUUGGUGGGGUAAUGGCCUACCAAGGCGGCGACGGGUAGCCGGCCUGAGAGGGUGGACGGCCACAUUGGGACUGAGAGACGGCCCAGACUCCUACGGGAGGCAGCAGUGGGGAAUAUUGCACAAUGGGCGCAAGCCUGAUGCAGCGACGCCGCGUGGGGGAUGACGGCCUUCGGGUUGUAAACUCCUUUCGCUAGGGACGAAGCUUUUUGUGACGGUACCUAGAUAAGAAGCACCGGCUAACUACGUG
rnacentral:rRNA from 1 species